rnacentral:ribozyme from 1 species
GCGUCAUCUUCAGGCAUGCUUAAGGCGCCGUGCAACUGCGCGACAGCCAACGCGCAAUUUCAGGGCUAGGACAACCUAGGUAGGAAACCGUGUGAAGUAGAUGCGAAAGCCAUUCUGGAUUGGCCAGGCAUUGG